GGUGAACGCUGGCGGCGUGCCUAAUACAUGCAAGUCGAGCGAACGGACGAGAAGCUUGCUUCUCUGAUGUUAGCGGCGGACGGGUGAGUAACACGUGGAUAACCUACCUAUAAGACUGGGAUAACUUCGGGAAACCGGAGCUAAUACCGGAUGAUAUUUUGAACCGCAUGGUUCAAAAGUGGAAGACGGUCUUGCUGUCACUUAUAGAUGGAUCCGCGCUGCAUUAGCUAGUUGGUAAGGUAACGGCUUACCAAGGCAACGAUGCAUAGCCGACCUGAGAGGGUGAUCGGCCACACUGGAACUGAGACACGGUCCAGACUCCUACGGGAGGCAGCAGUAGGGAAUCUUCCGCAAUGGGCGAAAGCCUGACGGAGCAACGCCGCGUGAGUGAUGAAGGUCUUCGGAUCGUAAAACUCUGUUAUUAGGGAAGAACAUAUGUGUAAGUAACUGUGCACAUCUUGACGGUACCUAAUCAGAAAGCCACGGCUAACUACGUG
rnacentral:rRNA from 1 species